GCGGCCGCUCCCAGGACCCCCGAGAAGCCCCACGCCGUGUCCCCCGCCGGCCCGGGGGCAGCGGGACACCCAGCAGGACGCUGCCAGCUGGAACCAUGACUGUCUAUGCAGCAACCUCUACAUGGACCUACGGCUGGGGAAUCUGUCGAGCAGAGCCCUUUAAUAGAUGCCCGUGGACAGUGGCAGCGGCGCGGGUCCUGACUUGGAGCGGUGGGCAGCACGUGAGGAGCGGUCAAUCAGCCACGAGUAAGGAAAGUGGACGGGUAGGGCCUCCCGACGGGCCUCUGCCAUCAGUCUGUGGGACGGGUGCCCAGGUCGAGGACAGGGACCCCGCUCGUCCGCCCCUGGAGCGCCCCCGGAGCUCAGCACACCUGCUCUGCAGCCGGGAGAGAUGUGGGCCUGAUGCGGGGCGUCGAUCACGCCGGGGUCCAUGCCCGAGAAGCGUCCAGAGCCCUGGUGCCUUUGAGGUCGGAGGCCAGGAGCGUGUUCACGGUGAGGAAUAGGAAUGAUCGCUUCCAAAAAUCGCCAAAACUCCCAAAUACCAGCAUGACAGGUGGAAAGAGAUUCCACCUAAGGAUUUUCAGACAUCCAGGCUGUUGCAGUUUCUGCAUAAAUAAAGAAUUCUAUUG